CAAAGGAAUUGACGGGGGCCCGCACAAGCGGAGGAACAUGUGGUUUAAUUCGAUGAUACGCGAGGAACCUUACCUGGGCUAGAACGCAUUCGGAAUCAGGCCGAAAGGCCUGCGCCAGCGAUGGCCGCUUGCGAGGUGCUGCAUGGUUGUCGUCAGCUCGUGCCGUGAGGUGUCGGGUUAAGUCCCAUAACGAGCGCAACCCCUACUGCUAGUUGCCAGCGGGUCAUGCCGGGGACUCUAGCGGAACUGCCAGCGUAAGCUGCGAGGAAGGUGGGGAUGACGUCAAAUCAGCACGGCCCUUACGUCCAGGGCUACACACGUGUUACAAUGGCCGGUACAGAGGGCAGCCACCCCGCGAGGGGGCGCGAAUCCCGAAAGCCGGUCCCAGUUCGGAUCGGAGUCUGCAACCCGACUCCGUGAAGCUGGAUUCGCUAGUAAUCGCGCAUCAGCCACGGCGCGGUGAAUACGUUCCCGGGCCUU
rnacentral:rRNA from 1 species